rnacentral:SRP_RNA from 1 species
GCCGGGUGUGGUGGUGCACACUUGUAGUCCCAGCUACUUGGGAGGUUGAGGCAGGAGAAUCGCUUGAACCUUGGAGGUGGAGGUUGCAGUGAGCCAAGAACAUGCCACUGCACUCCAGCCUAGGUGACAGAGUGAGAUCCUGCCUCAA